rnacentral:rRNA from 1 species
UACAGAGGCCCCAAGCAUUAUCCGGAAUCACUGGGCGUAAAGGGUGUGUAGGCGGUCGUGUUAGUCUUUCGUAAAAGCUUUUGGGCCUAACCCAGAAAAUGCGGCAGAAACGGCAUGGCUUCGAGGAUGCGAGAGGUAUAUGGAACUCAUGGUGUAGGGGUGAAAUCCGUUGAUAUCAUGGGGAACACCAAAUGCGAAGGCAAUAUACUGGCGCACUCCUGACGCUGAAACACGAAAGCGUGGGAAUCGAAAAGG